AGAGGGUGCAAGCGUUGUUCGGAAUUAUUGGGCGUAAAGCGCGUGUAGGCGGCUUGGCAAGUCAGAUGUGAAAGCCCUCGGCUUAACCGAGGAAGUGCGUCUGAAACUGCUGAGCUUGAGUGUCGGAGAGGAUGGCGGAAUUCCGCAAGUAGAGGUGAAAUUCGUAGAUAUGCGGAGGAACACCGGUGGCGAAGGCGGCCAUCUGGACGACUACUGACGCUGAGACGCGAAAGCGUGGGGAGCAAACAGGAUUAGAUACCCUGGUAGUCCACGCUGUAAACGAUGAGAACUAGGUGUCGUGGGUGUUGACCCCCGCGGUGCCGCAGCUAACGCAUUAAGUUCUCCGCCUGGGAAGUACGGCCGCAAGGCUA
rnacentral:rRNA from 1 species